GAUGAACGCUGGCGGCGUGCCUAAUACAUGCAAGUCGAGCGAACGGACGCGAAGCUUGCUUCUCUGAUGUUAGCGGCGGACGGGUGAGUAACACGUGGAUAACCUACCUAUAAGACUGGGAUAACUUCGGGAAACCGGCGCUAAUAGCGGAUAAUAUUUUGAACCGCAUGGUUCAAAAGUGAAAGACGGUCUUGCUGUCACUUCUAGCUGGAUUCGCGCUGCAUUAGCUAGUUGGUAAGGUAACGGCUUACCAAGGCAACGAUGCAUAACCGACCUGUGAGGGGGAGCGGCCACUCUGGGACUGAGACACGGUCCAGAGACCUACGGGAGGCAGCAGCAGGUAAUCGUCCGAGAUGGGCGAAAGCCUGACCGAGCAACGGAGCGCUAGUGCUGAAGGGCUGCGGAUCGUAAAACGCUGUUAUUGGGGAAGAACAUAUGUGUAAGUAACGGUGCACAUCUGGACGGUACCGGAUAAGAAAGCCACGGUGAACUACGU
rnacentral:rRNA from 1 species